rnacentral:ncRNA from 1 species
GUUGAUAGAGGUUGCGUACUUUAAGAGUAGCUUUUUGGAUGCGGCAAGCGCAGAGGAAGAUGAGUGAAAGGAAAGCACGCCGAAAGCGUAUGGCACUUGCCGUCAUACUGCUUGGGCAUAGGGUUAAGAGCCCUGUGACUGUCAUCUUUUUGGAUGGGGCGCUAUCGGU